rnacentral:lncRNA from 1 species
ACAGAAGUGUUACAUCCUUUAAAUAUAAAACUUAAAUAUAUGUACGAGACUCUAAAUUUCUUUACUUACAUUACUAGACAAAAGUACGAAGCAGUAACCUUAAUAUUAGAGUCUACCUUCAGAAAUUUCUUCUGUAUCACCACUCACUCUGCAGCGGUACCUUCUGUAUCUAAAAUGUGAUAAGGGUGAGAUAAAAUAUCCUAAUAAGCGAUAUUAUGCAAUCACAUCAUAGUACAUGCAAUAUAUAAUUUCUUUACACAUAAUAAAACAUAUAUCAUAUAAUCUUUACAAAAUAAAUAUGAAUCAGAAGACAAAAAUACAAAUCAGAAAACAUAUUCAUGUUAUAUACUUCAUCACUAUUAUGGAGGAUCAAUCAAUUAUAAUACAUUAUACGUAGGCACAUAUACUUAUCACUAGUUCCCCAUGUAUCCGAACAGGAAUGACAUACAUGAGUACCUUGAAAUACUGCUACUCCACGAACAUGAAACGUUUAGAACACACUUAUCAGACUAUUUUUCUAUACACCCGAACACGGAACGGUUAUGUAUGGGUAUACACUUAUCAUUUCGCUAAUAUACUAGAACACAUAACGGUAAUGUACGGUCAAAUUAAAGCCUAGUGGAAUGCAUGUGCUUUUAGAAUAAUUUCUUUCCACAAUGAGUGAUGCACAUAUAUCAAAAUCCCAUUUUGAAAAUACAAAACGAAAUAACACUUAUAUCGAAGUAAAACUUUAACAAAUAAUUACUAGGUAAAUGCGAAAGAUAAAUUAAACACUUGUACAUUUUUAUAUUGAAAAUAAGUAAAAUAUUUCAAAACUACAUAGACUAUAAAAUCAUAAUAUCUACUUACCUUAGAUCCUUAGCAGUCAUAGUUUUAAUUCUAACAGAAUUCCAGCUUUAUUUAUGAGUUUUUUCUCUAAAAAAUCCAGCAGAGUUUCGAGAUGAUUUUUAAUCAAUUUCUUAACUAAAAAAUAUCAAACACAAUACUCAAAAACUAAUUCGAAAAAUUAAAGAGAAACUGAACUUCAAAACUUAAGAAAAAACUUACAUUUCUAACGAUUUAUAACUUUGUUUUGAUCGUGAGCCUUAUUCCUCUUCUCUUCAUCUUUCUCUGCUCUCAUAAAUUUAGUAGAGUUUUUCCAAUGUUUUUAUCUAAAAUCUCAAAAUACUAUCAAAUAUCACAUACUUCGUACUCCAUCUUCUUCAUUCACCUCUAUGUUUCUCACUAUUUUUCUCUUAUCCGGA